CUGCCCCCCUCCCCCUCCUCAGGGCUUCAGCACUGCUGAGAGACAGCAGGCUCUUGUAGGAUUGUGGGAGAAGGGUCAAGUGGUGCAGACUCUUGACCUCUUAAAAGAUUAGGAAGGAGUGAAAGUAAAGGAACCCCAGCUGGAGGGCUGAGCAAACAAACUGCAACCACCUCAGAAUGUUAUCCUCCUUUGUAGGCUUCCAAGCAGGUUAGUUUUAACACCAGGGUUAAGAUGUUCUUUUCUGGCCAUCCAGGACAAACUGCCAUUGACUGGCUGGUAGGUUGUAUGAUGGCUGGCAAAAGGAGUCAUUAACAGUUCUAAAACUUAUACCCGUUGUGACUCAGAGGCCUGCACAGGAGGCUACCAAAAUGUACAUUUUUGCCCAUGCAAGGCCUGGUGGUCUCUGUAGCAUAUCCGACUGUAUUCAAGAGAACUUUUAGACCAGUGUUCUAGCCAGGGUCCAUCAUUUGACAGAAUUUCGCAGCUCAUAACGGACAAAAAUUUUGCAUAAUCUUUGAUGGACAAAAUCGUAUGGUAAAGAUUUGGAAUGAAAUGUCAUUAAACUAAGCUAAAUUAGUCUACCAGCAAAAUUUGCUCCUCAAAUUGCCUUUUCGGAAAUAGCAUUUCAGAGGGUCUUGCAAGAUUUCAAAUUUUCAGAACAGUGAUUCGGACCAUGAUUGAGAUACAAACAUUCAGUUGAUAAGUAGUUUUUUAUUAUUCAAAUGUUUUCGGCACAUUCCCCACAUUACGUAGGCAUGCAAUCACCGUUUCCAAACGACAACAGUUCCUCGUGACUGCUUCGCGCGCACCAUAUGAAGAUAGAACCAGGUUUCUGUGUUCCGGUGUUAAUAAAGGUUAAACAAGCUGGGAGACAACAGAAGUCUCCGGAGCUCCCUUAACUGCGGACGAGGCGCGGGCAGGCAGAAUUUGUGGCGUUAAAUGAACCGUUUUACGGCAGUAAAUUGCUGACUGGUUUUACAAGCUCAUUAGCAUUUGGCGAGCCGUUGUCAUGGAACAUUUAGGACUCACCGUUUCUGAUUUGGAUGACAUUUUCGGCGAGAGAUUUAUGUAUUCGCGAAGCCUUGAAAACAACUCGGACCAGACAGCAGAACACCAAGAAACGACUGCUCGACAAUGAAGCCGGGUUUGCAGAAAGGCUCUCGUCAGAGACAGAUUCUGUCCAAAAAAAGUGAAGCAUAGGUUCAAGGAGAAAUUCCGUAAUCUCAGUAAUCUACUUCCAAGUCCCAGGCUCAUGUCUCUCCAUUAGGAAGGGAUUGUUGCCAAUUUGGCGAUUCCGAGUCCAUCUGCAUACAUCACGGCGCGUGUUUGACAGCCUGAACAGUAGUCAAUUUUCCACUAGCUUGAGACCAUAUCAUACAUAUUCACUGAAGUGCCAUUUCAUGGCAGCCCGUCGUUUAGUCAUGUGUUCUGCACUGCACGUCCGCAUGUCCGGUACAGAGGCGGGGGACCACACGCAUGAUCGGAAUACUGUUGUGUAAAGUCAUAAACUUUUCACAAAGUUGUAAAACUGGAAUUGAAACAUGCUUCUUGUCAAUAGGAAUCAAAUGCAGCUAAACGCAGCGACUAGUAGAAAAGAUGAAGUCUUAAAAAAUGCUCUAUUAACUCCCCGGUGCGGCCAUACCAGUUUAGUGAAAAAUUAGGUCAACUUUUUAGUGUUUAAAGAGAAGAAAAAAACUGUCAGCAUUCUUUCUGCCUUGUGCUCCUAGUAGAAGUGUUGUCUUCCUUCCGUUCCGAUCGCAUUACUCUACAAGAAACCUACCAAUGUGAUUUCAAGAGUUGUAAGUUGUCGUGAACGUUGUGUAAAAAAGGCGAAAGCCGUAGUGAGUUCAGCAGUUGUCGCUGUAAUGUGAACAGGACACCCAGACCUGCUCUGAUGUAGGCAUCGAUGCCAAGCUAGGAUGUAGUGGAAGAGAGGAGAAGCCUAAUGCCAAGUACCAUAGUCCAUCAGAUUAGCACAGUGCAGCUCUGUAGCUAUGUGUUCUCCAGAAAGCCUCUUGUACAGACUUUUCUAGUAGCAUUUGUUUCUAUGAGAAAAAUGAGAGUUUCUUUUCACUGGGAGAGAUUGUAUAGGGCGAGGUCUGUUAGUCUCUACCAGGCUUUGGGAGGCAGCUGAAAGAGUAGAAAUUGGCCAAAUGGAGAGAUAACACACCGGGGGAGUUGGUCCGAUAGAGAGUACAUGUUAUCUCUCAAUUUGGCCAAUUUUUUUUCCUCUUUCCGGCUGCCUCCCGAAGCCUGGUAGAGGCUUGAUAUCUGUAUCAAUUGGAUAGCUGUGUCUCGUAUCCCAGAAAAGAAACCACACUCAUAGAAACAAACGCACGCUGCUGGAAAAGACUGUACAUGAGGACAUACUCCAUACAUGUCAGACUGAGGAGACAAGUUAUUCUGUGACACACAAUGUCAUUCCCGUAGCUCUACGUUAGGUAAACCUAAAGACAAUGCAAGCUCAAGUGAGGCUUCUACGUAUAGAUGUCCGACAAAUGAUAGGUUAAAGUACCUACAUAUGUGAGCCAUUCCCUAUAAAUGCUGUAAAUAUCGCAGAGUGAAAACAGCAUCUAACAAACAGUACCUGUAGGUAAAGUGUAGCCUUAUCAUGUAUUAUAUGUAACAGAUACAUAUUAGCCAAGAUCGAAGAUCUCUAUGAAUGAUACAUGUGCACUAGUGAGAGAAGUUAUGAGCCUGUGAUAUGAUGUGAAGAUUAAAUAUACCAAUAUUGUGUCAUAA